rnacentral:antisense_RNA from 1 species
CUUGAUCGAGCCCAGCCACACCGGCUCGUCGCCGCCGCGGCCCUGCCCGUACGUGUUGAUCAGGGCCUGGGCCUC